rnacentral:snRNA from 1 species
GUGCUCACUUUGGCAGCACAUAUACUUAAAUUGGAAUGAUACAAAGAAGAUUAGCAUGGCCCCUGCUCAAGGAUGACAUGCAAAUUGGUGAAGCAUUUCAUGUUUCU